UACAGAGACUGCAAGCGUUAUUCGGAUUCACUGGGCGUAAAGGGUGCGCAGGCGGCCGUGUGUGUGAGGCGUGAAAGCCCGGGGCUUAACCCCGGAAUUGCACCUCAAACUACAUGGCUAGAGCAUUGGAGAGGGUAGCGGAAUUCACGGUGUAGCAGUGAAAUGCGUAGAUAUCGUGAGGAACACCAGAGGCGAAGGCGGCUACCUGGACAAUUGCUGACGCUCAUGCACGAAAGCGUGGGGAGCAAACAGG
rnacentral:rRNA from 1 species